GACAGAGGGUGCUAGCGUUGUUCGGAAUGACUGGGCGUAAAGGGCGCGUAGGCGGCUUUUUAAGUCAGGCGUGAAAUCCCCGGGCUCAACCCGGGAAUAGCGUUUGAAACUGGAAAGCUUGAGAGCGGAAGAGGAAAGUGGAAUUCCUAGUGUAGAAGUGAAAUUCGUAGAUAUUAGGAGGAACACCAGAGGCGAAGGCGACUUUCUGGUCCGCCACUGACGCUGAGGCGCGAAAGCGUGGGGAGCAAACAGG
rnacentral:rRNA from 1 species